rnacentral:lncRNA from 1 species
GGCCACUGAAGACUGAAGAGGGUAACUAUGCAGUUGUAGGCACCCCAGGCUCCCAGGCGUGGGUUGUCCUGCUCAUUUCAGGUUCAAGACCAGGAAAGGGGAUCAGAGGUACGUAAGAAGGCACCUCCUUCUGGAAGGAAAGUUCCCAGCUUCUUCAAGACCUCGGGGUAUGUGUGGUCACCGGAUGGCUUGAGUGACUACUCGCCCCUUGACUGUGAGCUCAAAGAAGGUAGGUAUCUCAUAUUUCUCCAUCACUGUGUUGUCCUUGGUGAGCUGAGGAAGGGGUUCAUGCCACAUAACGAACUCUGGUAUGACAGCUGACUGGAGGGAGGCAUGCACCUUAGGAUGCUGUUCCUUAUGGUGUAUGCCAUCAAGAUUUUCCACCACUCAAAGAAACUGCUAACUCUUGACCUCCUCGGUAGAAAGAUGGCGCCUAAGUCCCUAGAGUGUUCUUAGGAAUCUUUGUUUAUGUGGGGUCUUCAGGCCAAGUGGGGGACUAUCUUGCUUCCUGAGGGGUUGCAGGCUAAACCAAAGUCAUCUCCAGGGCAGGUUAUGAUGAAGCUCCAGAAAGAUCUCUGGACACCAAGGACUGGCCACACUAGUGUAUCCUGAUGACAGAAAACAGCUCAUCUGGGGCUUCACUGGGAAGGGCCUCAGGAGGCAGCUUGCUUGAAACUCUGGAUUCUCCUGAUGGCCUCUUCUGACAGAUUUACUCCUGUAUUUUCCGUGCUGGAAACUGUCACCUUGGAGGCUCCCAGCUUCCAGUGGGUUCUGUGAAUCCUUCUCGCAAAUCACUGACCCUGAGUCUGGUUUAGGAACCCCAGAGUUAGGACUGGUUUUAGUCGUGUAUGUGCAUGCGUGUCUGUGUCACCUUAACUUGGUAUAAAACUCACACAGGAGGUUCUGGCCCAGUUUUCUGGGUUCUGGAAAGCCAUAAACAGGGGACACAUGUGAACAUCUGGGUGUAUACAUGUGCCUAUGUCCCUGCCACUGGAGGCUCCUCAGAGAGGUUGCUCUGAGCUUGCUUAUUCUCAGAGAACAGAUAACACUCCUCUGGUUGGAGUGUCAUGAGGUAUAACUGGCAGCUGUUGGGCCCUAUGACCAGGUACCUGAGCCCCUAAGUGGGGCUUUGGGUCCAUGGCUAAUUGUCAGAGUGUACAAGGGAUGUGAAGGGACUUGGGUAUCACGAUGUGCAUGACAGCAUCAACUGAAGCCCCAGAUUCACUUGAAUCAAUUGUUUUUCAUCUGCAAGGAAUUCCUCCUCCAAGUGCACUUGGGUCACAAGUCCCCAGGCUGAGAAGGCUUAAUGGGGUAAUAACCCCUGAUUCCAACCUGUUCCACGAUAGCCAACUAAUGUCAUUAGACCAUUCCAAGAUGACUUUUUUUUUAAUUACAUUUUUUUUUUUGGUAGGGACUAAGAGAUUUUUGAUCAGGAUAGUCCCCCCCUUGACCUGGUACUAAAAACUUGUACACACUGUUGGAAGGGGCUAUAAACCAGUACAACCCAUUUGGAAAAAGAGUUAGUAAUAAUAUCUUUGCAAACUGAAAAUGUCAGGGGGAGGGUCUCACUAAGUUGGCGAAUGCUCGCCUAGCAUGCAUGAAGCCCUGGAUUUGACCCCUUCCAUUUUUGCAAGGGUAGUGGUAUACGCUGGUCAUCCCAGUAAUCAGGAGGUGGAAGGAGGCAGGAAGAUCAGAUGUUCAAGGGUAACCUUAGCUACCUGAGCUAUAGGAUAGCCUAAUUUACAACAAACAAACCCUCUCCAAGCUGAACAUGUGCUUCUCCCAGAAAGUUCCCUUACAGACUUGAGCAGAUAUGAGGCUGUGUAUCUGGAUGAGGGCUGCAGCAUGGGCAGUGGACAAAGUCAACACAAAGUAAUAAAGAGACAACACUGAAGGUACUCUGGGUGGGGCACAGGGCAAGGCAGGCAGCUGUUCUGGUGUGGUCCUGGGGCUGCAGGCUCUGGAGAGCAUCCUUUGGCUCCAACUUGCAGUGACCAAGGGGGACACUGGUCAGCCUCCUCCACUGGCUGGGCAGUGAGUCUGUGGGCUCUGCAUGGAGGGUCUAGUCAGGUACUGAAGGCAGUACUGAGAGAGAGGAACAGGUGAACUGGAGGACUGUACCCAGGGAUCCAAUGCCAGAGGAGGCACUUGGGACAGUCGACCCACAUGUCCACAAGUUGGCACACCACAGACCUGAAACCUGGCCUCCAUGACUGCCCCUUUUCUUCUCUUUUUAAUACAAGGUCUCACAUGGCACAGGCUGGCUUCUGACUUGCAAACAGAAGACUUUCAACUUCUUAUCUUCCUGCCUCUACUGCCUAUGAGCUACGGUUACCACACCCUGUUUACGCAGUGCUGGGGAUGGAACCCACUUUGAACCCACUUUGUUAUGCACAAACAGUGCAUAACAAGACAAACAGUCCAUCCACCAACCCACAUCCCCAGCCCAUGGAUCAAUCUGGACAACACACCAAUAGUGUGAAUCUACCCAAAGAUCAAAAAAGGCAGGAGGUUUAGAUACCACCAGGGUCUGUGACCCAAGCUGGAAAGAACUGGCCCCGCCUUCAAGCACUGUGUUUUCCAAGAGUUUAAAACAAAAUGUACCCAGGAGUUUAAUGAGAUGAUCUUAAUGCAGAAUGACAGCUACUGUCUGCCGUGUGGCAAACAGCUCUCCAUGCUAAUCAAACGCCUCGCAUCACGCCACAGUGCAUUCACGACUGCUUCAUACGAAGACAAUAAAAAUGAAAUGAGUCAUGAGUUCCUAAAUCAUUUUCUUUUUGGUCUCUUUUCUUUUUUAAAUAACUCACUUCCAAAGAAACAUUUGGAGAGACCAAGCACAUGCCUCAUUAGAAAUAUUUGUUCUCAGUUUUACACAGUUUAGCCAUGGGGGAACGGGAACCUUUUAACAGACCCUUCAAACAAUGGCACAGACACUUGCUUCUAGUGGGCUUUGUGUCACUGCUUUUAUCACUGUACUCUGCCUGCCAACAGUUGAAAGCCCCAAAUAGUGAGCUUCAGUU